GACGAACGCUGGCGGUGUGCUUCACACAUGCAAGUCGAACGGCAGCACGGGGGCAACCCUGGUGGCGAGUGGCGAACGGGUGAGUAAUACAUCGGAAUGUACCCAGUAGUGGGGGAUAACUAGUCGAAAGAUUAGCUAAUACCGCAUACGCACUAUGGUGGAAAGCGGGGGAUCGCAAGACCUCGCGCUAUUGGAGCAGCCGAUGUCCGAUUAGGUAGUUGGUGGGGUAAAGGCCUACCAAGCCUGCGAUCGGUAACUGGUCUGAGAGGACGACCAGUCACACUGGGACUGAGACACGGCCCAGACUCCUACGGGAGGCAGCAGUGGGGAAUUUUGGACAAUGGGGGAAACCCUGAUCCAGCAAUGCCGCGUGUGUGACGAAGG
rnacentral:rRNA from 1 species